rnacentral:lncRNA from 1 species
GUGGCUUUGGAAUUACUACUGGAGGCUUAUAUAUUGGAACAGGUGGUAGAACUGGGUGCUCAAUCUUUGGUGGACAUGGUUUCUUGAUCGGGACUGGUGGUGGAAGUGCCUUUGGAACCGGUGGAGGUUUGUAUACUGGAACAGGUGGUAAAACUGGAUGUUCAACCUUUGGUGGUGGACAUGGUUUCUUGACCGGAACCGGUGGUGGUUGUGGCUUUGGAACUGGAGGAGGUUUGUAUACUGGAGCAGGUGGUAGAACUGGAUGUUCAACCUUUGGUGGUGGACAUGGUUUCUUGACUGGAACAGGAGGAGGAAGAGGUUUAUGAUAUACAGGCGUAGGUGGAGGGAGAGGUUUAUGAUAAACAGGCACAGGUGGAGGAAGAGGUUUCUCAUACACAGGUGUAGGUGGAGGGAGAGGUUUAUGGUAAACAGGCACAGGCGGAGGAAGAGGUUUCUCGUAGACAGGUGUAGGUGGAGGAAGAGGUUUCUCAUAAACAGGUGUAGGAGGAGGGAUAGGUUUUUCAUAGAUAGGCACAGGUGGAGGACAAGGUUUCUUGUAGAUAGGAAUAUGAGGAAAGGGAGGUUUGUAAAUAGGAAUAUGAGAAAAUGGAGGUUUCUUGUAGAUAGGAACAGGAGGAAAAAGAGGGUGUUUAUGGAAAAUCUUUGGUGGAAAUGUUGGAAAAACUUUAGGGGGAAAUUGAGGUAAAUCAGGAUGAGGAAGCUUAGGAAAAAGAGGAUGUUUGAAGAGAGGCCAAAAGAAUUUGGAG